GUGAGGAAUAUUGGUCAAUGGGCGGAAGCCUGAACCAGCCAAGUAGCGUGCAGGAUGACGGCCCUAUGGGUUGUAAACUGCUUUUAUACAGGAAUAAAGUUAGCCACGUGUGGUUAUUUGUAGGUACUGUAUGAAUAAGGACCGGCUAAUUCCGUGCCAGCAGCCGCGGUAAUACGGAAGGUCCAGGCGUUAUCCGGAUUUAUUGGGUUUAAAGGGAGCGUAGGCCGUCUGUUAAGCGUGUUGUGAAAUGUAGAUGCUCAACAUCUGAAUUGCAGCGCGAACUGGCAGACUUGAGUGUGCGCAACGUAGGCGGAAUUCGUGGUGUAGCGGUGAAAUGCUUAGAUAUCACGAAGAACUCCGAUUGCGAAGGCAGCUUACGGGAGCACAACUGACGCUGAAGCUCGAAAGUGCGGGUAUCGAACAGGAUUAGAAACCCUGGUAGUCC
rnacentral:rRNA from 1 species